AUAAAGUUUUAUUUUGGCUUGAAAAUUUGUUAUUAAUUUGAUUUAUAUGUAAAUUUUUGUGUGAUUAUUUAUUUAUUUUAAUAAUAAAUGAUAAAAUAUUAUUCGCAGUAAUUAAUAUUAUUAAUUAAAGAAAUUUAGAAAUAGCAAUAUAAAAGAGUAUUGGCUAAAUUGGUGCCAGCAGCCGCGGUUACACCAAUAAUACAAAUAAAUUUUUUUAGUGUUAGUUAAAUUGAUUUUAUAAAAUAAAAUUAAAUAUAUUAAGUGAAAUUUUAUAUUUAAAAUAUUUUUUUAAAAAAUAAUUGAAGCUAAAAAAUUUUAAUUAAAAACUAGGAUUAGAUACCCUAUUAUUUAAAAUGUAAUUUAUUCACUAAAGUAGUAAUAGUUAUGUUCUUGAAACUUAAAAAAUUUGGCGGUAUUUUAGUCUAUCCAGAGGAACCUGUUUUGUAAUCGAUAAUCCACGAUGGACCUUACUUAAAUUUGUAAUCAGUUUAUAUACCGUCGUUAUCAGAAUAUUUUAUAAGAAUAAUAAUAUUCAAUAAUUUUUAUUAAAAUUUAUAUCAGAUCAAGGUGUAGCUUAUAUUUAAGUAAUAAUGGGUUACAAUAAAUAUAUUUAAACGAAUAAAACUAUGAAAAAGUUUUUGAAGGUGGAUUUGGUAGUAAAAUUAUAAAGAUUAAUAAUUUGAUUUUAGCUCUAAAAUAUGUACACAUCGCCCGUCGCUCUUAUUAUUAAGGUAAGAUAAGUCGUAACAUAGUAGAUGUACUGGAAAGUGUAUCUAGAAUGAC
rnacentral:ncRNA from 1 species